rnacentral:rRNA from 1 species
CUCCACCGCUCACUCGCAUCCCACACACUCGCCUUGCGGAGAACUGUCUUGCGCCGGUGACGAGGCAUGCGACGUCGGAAAGGAGCCAGGGGGCGACGGAGGCGAGGAGGUGGAAGAACGCCAUCUAGCAGCUCCACCGGACCCAACAUCGGGGGUGUCCCGCGGCGGAGACGAGGCAGGCUGCGCUGUCCUCGAGGUGUUGCGGCUUGCGGCCACGGGGGAGGAGGCUGAGGAGGCCCCCUAGUUGUGCUCCGACGGAUCCCAGAUGGAGAGCCCGAGCGCUAGCAUGGGGAGGAACCACCGGUUGCAGCGGUGGCGACGGAGAGGAGGCGCGGACGAAGGAGCUGUGAUGGAGGUGGUCGGGCUUAGGUGUGGCGGGGGCAGGCGGAGAGGAGGCCCGGCGAAGGAUCUGUGAUGGAGAUGGCCGCGCUUAGGUGCGGCGGGGGCGACGGAAAGGAGGCGCGGCGAAGGAGCUGCGCUGGCGAUUGCCGCAUUUAGGUGCGGCGGGUGUCGAGAUGCAGCCGGAGAUCUAUGCUGCGUGGUGGCACUGCUUCCGUCGGCACUGGCCGCGCACUUCCUGGUGGUCACCACGGAGCUCCACCUUGGCGUUCACGAGUUUGAACUACGCAAGGACGGGGCGGCUCGCUGGACUAGCCAUGCCAUGUCUACUACCAAUGGUGCCCGAGCCGGCUGUCAACGAAGAGAUGGUGUCCUGAGGCAAUGAUGUUUCUGGGCUUGUCCCAUUUUGGGCUGGUUCGCUGGAGGGGAGGAGCUAGAUCGCUAGCGACAAGUUUGUGCGAUGCGGGAUCGUUCGGGCUGGAGGGGUACUUCUACCGAACGAGUUUGUUCGUUCCAGCACCCUUCCAGUACGAACGAUUUGUUCGGGAUGGGGUGCCUCCAGGCCGAACGUACGCGCGUUAUCGGCGUCCUUUUUUCUUCUUUCUCUUUUUUAUUUAAAGAAAAGGCAAGCAGUUUCUGCCCUAUGCAUUUCAAAACGAGGUAAUAUCAUCCGGAGUCACACAAUUUGCAUCGCAUGUUAGUUUGGUGCUAGAACUUUCAAAAAUAUGUUUU